rnacentral:tRNA from 1 species
GCGGUCGUAGCUCAGUUGGUAGAGCACUGGAUUGUGAAUCCGGGUGUCGCGGGUUCGAGCCCCGUCGAUCGCCCCA